UAUUAGGUCUGAGCAAACGCACGGUAUGACAGGUGUAGGCAGAGGGAUACACACGCGCGCUCUCUCCCCCAUCACUGAAAGGAAAGGUGAACUGGGGAGUACUCAGGUAGAUUUCGAGUAUUUAUACUCGCCACUGGCCGCAAAAUUUCAAUUCCCCUAGGAAGAACAGGGACGUGACUUGGCAGCGAGAGAGGAAAGGCACCUGGAACUUGGAGUAAGGUGUGGCGGUUCAAGUUUUCCUGAACACGGGAAACGGAGCCCCAGGGCGGGUGCGACACUGACGACAGUAACUUGCCCUGAUCCGUCGUACCUGCGACGGUCGCUGUGUUUGCCUCACGCUGAGCCACACGUACAAUACCUGCUGAUGAAGUUUUGUUCGUUCGGCUCGCGUUAAGCAGGUACAGACUCUCUGCAAGCGGACGCCCAGAAGGAAACUCUACUUCCAAGGACAUCGCAGGAUUUUUCUUCGAUAUAGAUCAAAAUCGUCAUUCCACCCAGACUAAAUGAGACAGUCUUAAUUGAUUGUGAUUAAUUUCCACUGAACCAAAUUAAACUGUACCAGCUACAUCUGUAAA